AGAGUUUGAUCCUGGCUCAGGACGAACGCUGGCGGCGUGCCUAACACAUGCAAGUCGAGCGGAGACAGUGAGUAGCUUGCUACGAGCUGUUUUAGCGGCGGACGGGUGAGUAACGCGUGAGCAACCUUUCCCAGACAGGGGAAUAACACACCGAAAGGUGUACUAAUACCGCAUAAGACCACGGGAUCACAUGGUUCUGGGGUAAAAGAAUUAUCGGUUUGGGGUGGGCUCGCGUCCGAUUAGGUAGUUGGUGAGGUAACGGCCCACCAAGCCGACGAUCGGUAGCCGACCUGAGAGGGUGAUCGGCCACAUUGGGACUGAGACACGGCCCAAACUCCUACGGGAGGCAGCAGUGGGGAAUAUUGGGCAAUGGAGGAAACUCUGACCCAGCAACGCCGCGUGGAGGAAGAAGGUUUUCGGAUCGUAAACUCCUGUCCUUGGAGACGAGUAGAAGACGGUAUCCAAGGAGGAAGCCCCGGCUAACUACGUGCCAGCAGCCGCGGUAAUACGUAGGGGGCAAGCGUUGUCCGGAAUAAUUGGGCGUAAAGGGCGCGUAGGCGGCUCGGUAAGUCUGGAGUGAAAGUCCUGCUUUUAAGGUGGGAAUUGCUUUGGAUACUGUCGGGCUUGAGUGCAGGAGAGGUUAGUGGAAUUCCCAGUGUAGCGGUGAAAUGCGUAGAGAUUGGGAGGAACACCAGUGGCGAAGGCGACUUACUGGACUGUAACUGACGCUGAGGCGCGAAAGUGUGGGGAGCAAACAGGAUUAGAUACCCUGGUAGUCCACACUGUAAACGAUGAAUGCUAGGUGUAGGGGGAUCGACCCCUUCAGUGCCGCAGUCAACACA
rnacentral:rRNA from 1 species